UGUAGCUGAGUGGUAAAGCACUUGGCUUCUGAACCAAGAGGUCCAGGGUUCAAAUCCUGGUA
rnacentral:tRNA from 1 species